GGACAUGACUCUGAAAGGACCCUGAGAUGGACCAGUAAAAGACUAAACGACUCUUUUCAAUCCCCAGAAGACAGUUAGAAAGAUUAUGGAGGAGGGUGGAAAUUCAUUGUAAUUGAAAAUUAAUUGUAAUGUGAAAUCCAUUGUAAUAUUUUCUUUCUUGUAUCAUUUAUAUUGUAACCAGUUUGAUGUACUCAUGUAAGGAUUGUAUUUGAGAGAGGUUGGCCCAGCAAGUUCUGAACACCUUGUAUUUCUGUCUGGUGGGAGGGAAAAUUGUCCAGCGUGUUUGUAUUAUCUGUAUUGUAAAACUAGCUGCAUACACAGGCACAUACACA